rnacentral:rRNA from 1 species
CAGUCGCCGCGGGAAUACGUAGGUGGCAAGCGUUGUCCGGAAUUAUUGGGCGUAAAGCGCGCGCAGGCGGAUAGGUCAGUCUGUCUUAAAAGUUCGGGGCUUAACCCCGUGAUGGGAUGGAAACUGCCAAUCUAGAGUAUCGGAGAGGAAAGUGGAAUUCCUAGUGUAGCGGUGAAAUGCGUAGAUAUUAGGAAGAACACCAGUGGCGAAGGCGACUUUCUGGACGAAAACUGACGCUGAGGCGCGAAAGCCAGGGGAGCGAACGGGAUUAGAUACCCGGGUAGUCCCUGUCUCUUAUACA